rnacentral:rRNA from 1 species
UGGUUAGUUUAACCUUCGGGAGAACGAUCACCACGGUGUGGUUCAUGACUGGGGUGAAGUCGUAACAAGGUAGCCGUAGGGGAACCUGCGGCUGGAUCACCUCCUUA